rnacentral:rRNA from 1 species
AAUUGAAGAGUUUGAUCAUGGCUCAGAUUGAACGCUGGCGGCAGGCCUAACACAUGCAAGUCGAACGGUAACAGGAAGCAGCUUGCUGUUUCGCUGACGAGUGGCGGACGGGUGAGUAAUGUCUGGGAAACUGCCUGAUGGAGGGGGAUAACUACUGGAAACGGUAGCUAAUACCGCAUAACGUCGCAAGACCAAAGAGGGGGACCCUCGGGCCUCUUGCCAUCGGAUGUGCCCAGAUGGGAUUAGCUUGUUGGUGGGGUAACGGCUCACCAAGGCGACGAUCCCUAGCUGGUCUGAGAGGAUGACCAGCCACACUGGAACUGAGACACGGUCCAGACUCCUACGGGAGGCAGCAGUGGGGAAUAUUGCACAAUGGGCGCAAGCCUGAUGCAGCCAUGCCGCGUGUAUGAAGAAGGCCUUCGGGUUGUAAAGUACUUUCAGCGGGGAGGAAGGGAGUAAAGUUAAUACCUUUGCUCAUUGACGUUA